AGUACUAAAAAUUUUCGAAUUAUUUUUUAAUUAUUAUUAUUUUUCUCGAACUAAAAAUCAAAUAAAGAAAAUCCAUGGAAUCGUAAUACGAAACAAGCAAUGGGAUAAGAAAAAGCAGAAUCUUUUAACGUAAUUAAUUUCGGUCGAUAAUACAGCGAAACUAGAUAAGAAAUGGCCGGUUUGGAAUCGUACUAUAAAUUUAACACGGCCUACACGAUACACCACUUAAGCGCAAAUACGAAACCGAUAUCUCUGGAGAGGAUGCGCGCACAUACGUUAAAUGGUGGCUAUAGAGUGAGACGUGAGGUCGCGCGUGUCCCCAGGCAGAACUCGUCGAGGAACGUUUCAAUUUCCUUGGCAGACGGUGAUGGACAGGGAGGCGAGUCACCUCUUGCGAUCCCUGGGAUCCUAUUAUCGCGUCUAGAUCUUUCUUUCUCGCGCCUUUAUCCUCCUUUGCUUCGCGUCUUUAUUCGAAAAUGAAGUGGGAAUCGAGAUGCAUUUCGUUCGAGGAAGGGAACAAGUUUCUUUUUCUUUCGCGUUUAUUCGAGAUUACUUUUCUCAUUAUUACUAGUAAAGUGUGGAAGAGAAAUAUAGAGUGGAAAAUGAUGUUAAAUAAUCGUGCAGAUUUAUCGUUACAGUCGAGAUUGUUGUAAAUAGAUCAGUUUAUAGGUUAUGUCUUUUUAGAAUUGGAAAAUAAUGGUGAAAGAGCUAGAACAGGUUAUCGAUUGUCUCGUGAGAAAAAGAGCACAUUAUACUUGUGUCGCGCAAAUGAUAACAAUCGCGCACCAUCAAACGAAACAAAAAAAAAGGAAAAACAAAAGACGUAAAUCCAACGUAAUAUAUCGCUUUUAUUUUAUUCGAGGCACGAGCGAUUCUUAACUUAACGAUUCUCAAAGCGACUCUCCUGGGAACACAAUCUGCAAUCGAAGCGUGCCCCUUCUUCCUUCCCAGCGGUUCGAUGUCCACCUGGCGGCAAUUACUGAAAAUUCCGCCAGUCGUCGAGGACAUAAUUACGACGUAAGUCGUUCCGACGUAUCCUCCAAGAUUUAUCCCGUAUCCCAUUAACGCACUCUUUUUUUCAAGGGGCAAAGGAGGAAUAACUCGAGAAGGGUGGCCCGCCUACUUCACUCUGUUCGACCUGUUGGGACGCUCUCCGAUGAAUUUGAACAAGCAUUACGGUAUUCGGCCGCGGGUUGCGCAUUUUCAUCGCUCGUGCAUUCUGUUUUCUUUUUUUUUUUUCGAAGAAACAACACUUCACUUCAAGAAGAUCUCCUCGAACUAAAGGGAGAGGAGGAAGGAAAAAAGAAGAAGAAAGAGUUGGGUUUCACAAUUGGCAUCGAUAUUAAUUCUCGAACGAAUAACGAUUGCUCUGCACAAUGGAGGAGAUUUGCAUAAAAAAAAAAAAAAAAAAAAA